CUCAGAGGGAACAUGGAGAACUUUCCAUCCUUUGUGUUCGAAGACACACUGUCCUUCCACUUCUCUGCCACCAGACCACCCUCUCAGCCCUCUGGGGAUAGAAAAGGAGAAGAGGAAUAGUGCCCACGUUUGAUCACACCAAUGAGCACAAUAUCCUGGGGGAUGAAGGAUCACCUAGAUGGAAGGAACUUGGGUCCCUGAAUGACGUCAUGGAGCAGGCCAGCCUCACCAACAGAUAACAGAGUCCUGAAAGAAACUCCCAUCUGACUUAAGGACUCUGGAGUUGAGAGGUAGAAGCACCAUCCAGUGACCCCCUGGAAGGCCGCAAUCAAGAGGGCUCUCUUCUGACUCUGGUUCUGGGUGACCCCAUCUGUGGAUUGCAGGGGAGUGCCAUGCUAGCUGCCAGGACCAGAAAUAGGUGCAGGAGACACUCCCUCCUCUCCAGCGCCUCAGAGUCCAGGCUGUCAGGAAAAUGUAAAGCAGACCACCCAGCACUAAGACACUGGGUCACUCAGUGUCACCACCAGAGGCACGGAUGGAAGCAGGAGCUAAAUGGAGGGAAAGGCAUGGGCUUUCUCUGCUGGCCUUGCCACUGACUUCCAGGACUUAGCCUCAGUUUCUCCACCUGAGUCAGGAGCAAGUAAAGAGAUGGACAGCCCUCGGCAAGAGGUAGGCCUUAGGAAACAACCAGUGAAUGAGAGAGUGAAUGAGUGCAUGAAUGUGUGGGGACCACCUCAGUAUGACAGAAAGGGUGACCUGUCGGAGCCUCAAGGGUGGCGGUGGGAGCUCCCUGGGUUGGGGAGGGGCCCGUGACACCUGAGCCAACUCCGUUCGGACGGAGAAAGAGCAAGAGAAACACAACAGCAGAAGCUAGAGCAGGUGGAGAAGCGCAGAGGACCUGGUUCGCAGGAGGAGAGAAGCGAGGAGCUACAAUGAGGGGACUCCGGGACACCGCUCUUGGAAGCAGCGGGAAGGUGCAGGCGCGGGAUCUCAGAUGACCACCCAGUCGGCGGCCCGCGCGUCUUUCUCGCUCGACCAGGCCCCGCAGCGCCGCCUGGCGGACACGCGGCGCUCCGCCCGGGCUUCGGCGGCAGCCGGUCGAGGAGCUGGGGAUACCCGGCAGUUCAGGAAAAAGCCGGAGGGAGCCCGGGGGCGCGUCGCGGGAGGGACAUUUAUUCCCGGAGCGGGGCUGGCACCUCGGCCUGGACCCGCAGCACAUACUAGCACCCUCUCUUCACUAACCCCGCUCUCGGGAUGACUCAGCUACGUCGAACACGUCAGGGAACCCUUUCUCCCCUCAACUCCCGGCCCCCAGCUAUGGAAUUUUGCUGCCUCUGAGUAGCUUCUCCGGGAAGGCGGUCUCGUUAAAAUUUCAAGGCGUUUUGGUUUUGAUUUUUGUUAAUAAAAUAACAAGAGUGGGCGUGGAGGCACGAAGGUGCCCAGUUUGUCUCAGACCUGAAAUUCCAGGGCUGGGGAAUUUCUAGGUUCUUCCCCGCCCGAGGGUCCCGGUGGGCGAAGCGUGGUGGCCCAAGGGCCCUGUCCGAAGACAUGAGGCAAAGGAGGACGAAGUGUGUGGGUCGGAGUGGCCAGGGGUGUGUGGCUGGUGCUAGUGAGAGGGUGAGCAGGGGCCUGGCCUUCCUGUCCCAAGCCGUGGGCACUGGAGUCGGUGGAGACUCAGGUCGCACCACCUCCUGGAACGUCCUCACCUCCCACUGGGGGUGGGGAGGGGGUGGAGGUCUGUUCGAAAGCCUGAGGGUGACAAGC
ensembl:lncRNA